GGCUGGAUAGGUCAGCUGGUUAUAGAGUGUGGUGCUGAUAAUGCCAAGGUUGCAGGUUCAAUCCCUGUAUGGGACA